CACCACUAGCAGUUGAAGCUGCCAGCAUGAUCUAACUUCCUUGCUUCUUUAUCAAGGAUGGAUUUAGAUCAUGUGGUGGUUUCACCUGUUGAUGGC
rnacentral:pre_miRNA from 1 species